CCAACUGAUUGAACGUGCUUGCACGGACUUGACGUUGGUUUACCAGCGAGUGGCGGACGGGUGAGUAACACGUAGGUAACCUGCCCCAAAGCGGGGGAUAACAUUUGGAAACAGAUGCUAAUACCGCAUAACAAUUUGAAUCGCAUGAUUCAAAUUUAAAAGAUGGCUUCGGCUAUCACUUUGGGAUGGACCUGCGGCGCAUUAGCUUGUUGGUAGGGUAACGGCCUACCAAGGCUGUGAUGCGUAGCCGAGUUGAGAGACUGAUCGGCCACAAUGGAACUGAGACACGGUCCAUACUCCUACGGGAGGCAGCAGUAGGGAAUCUUCCACAAUGGGCGCAAGCCUGAUGGAGCAACACCGCGUGAGUGAAGAAGGGUUUCGGCUCGUAAAGCUCUGUUGUUAGAGAAGAACGUGCGUGAGAGCAACUGUUCACGCAGUGACGGUAUCUAACCAGAAAGUCACGGCUAACUACGUGCCAGCAGCCGCGGUAAUACGUAGGUGGCAAGCGUUAUCCGGAUUUAUUGGGCGUAAAGCGAGCGCAGGCGGUUUGAUAAGUCUGAUGUGAAAGCCUUUGGCUUAACCAAAGAAGUGCAUCGGAAACUGUCAGACUUGAGUGCAGAAGAGGACAGUGGAACUCCAUGUGUAGCGGUGGAAUGCGUAGAUAUAUGGAAGAACACCAGUGGCGAAGGCGGCUGUCUGGUCUGCAACUGACGCUGAGGCUCGAAAGCAUGGGUAGCGAACAGGAUUAGAUACCCUGGUAGUCCAUGCCGUAAACGAUGAGUGCUAGGUGUUGGAGGGUUUCCGCCCUUCAGUGCCGCAGCUAACGCAUUAAGCACUCCGCCUGGGGAGUACGACCGCAAGGUUGAAACUCAAAGGAAUUGACGGGGGCCCGCACAAGCGGUGGAGCAUGUGGUUUAAUUCGAAGCUACGCGAAGAACCUUACCAGGUCUUGACAUCUUGCGCCAACCCUAGAGAUAGGGCGUUUCCUUCGGGAACGCAAUGACAGGUGGUGCAUGGUCGUCGUCAGCUCGUGUCGUGAGAUGUUGGGUUAAGUCCCGCAACGAGCGCAACCCUUGUUACUAGUUGCCAGCAUUCAGUUGGGCACUCUAGUGAGACUGCCGGUGACAAACCGGAGGAAAGGUGGGGACGACGUCAGAUCAUCAUGCCCCUUAUGACCUGGGCUACACACGUGCUACAAUGGACGGUACAACGAGUCGCGAACUCGCGAGGGCAAGCUAAUCUCUUAAAACCGUUCUCAGUUCGGACUGCAGGCUGC
rnacentral:rRNA from 1 species